AUACGUCUUCAGGGCGGGGCGGAAUUCCCCACCGGCGGUAGGCCGGCCUAGUGCCGGCAAGCCCGCGAGCGCCCGCGCGAUGAUGCGCGGGGUCAGCAGAUCUGGUCCGAUGCCAGAGCCGACGGUCACAGUCCGGAUGAAAGAAGAUGUGC
rfam:Burkholderia sp. TSV85 TSV85_53, whole genome shotgun sequence.